GAGUUCAAUCAAACUUUAUUAGCAACAAAUCAAACAGCUCAGAUUAACUGUGCAGCUCUUUUUUAAUUUUUUAUUUGCUUUAUUUCCUCAUUUAUAUAUUUUUAGUCACUGAGAAAAAAUAAAAACUGUCAAGUCUCAAUAUUUUUAUAUAUAAAUUAAUAUUUGGAGGAAGAAGCAGUGAAGAGUUUAGACUGAAAGCUGCUCUCAUCUCACAGUUUGUACAUCCUUGAUGCCUUUCCUUGUCUCCUCUCCUCAUGUCUUAGUCCCUCCCACCUGAUAUGUGAGCGGAAGAGGCAGCAAGAGUAAAGAGGAGGGAGGAGUCAUGGCAACAGGCGUUUAACAAAAUGAGACGUCCAUGUUUCAGAGAUGUUGGUUAAACAUGAAGCAGCACAGCUGAGUGUCAAAAUGUGUGUGUGUGUGUGUGUGUGUGUGUGUGUGUGUGUGCGUGCACGUGUGUGUGUGUGUGUGUGUGUGUGUGUGUGUGUGUGUGUGUCCUCAUUCCUCGGAUCAGCCUCCUCUCCGCCAGGUGCAAUAUAACAAUUGAGACAUCAUUCAAGAUGGCGAUGGAUCAGGUGAGGAACAGGUGAGGAUCGGGUGAGGAUCAGGUGAGGAUCGGGUGAGGAACAGGUGAGGAUCAGGUGAGGAUCAGGUGAGGAUUAGGUGAGGAUCAGGUGAGGAUCGAGUGAGGAUCAGGUGAGGAUUAGGUGAGGAUCAGGUGAGGAUUAGGUGAGGAUCAGGUGAGGAUCAAGUGAGGAACAGGUGAGGAUCAGGUGAGGAUCAGGUGAGGAUCAAGUGAGGAACAGGUGAGGAUUAGGUGAGGAUUAGGUGAGGAUCAGGUGAGGAUUAGGUGAGGAUCAGGUGAGGAUCAGGUGAGGAUCAGGUGAGGAUUAGGUGAGGAUCAAGUGAGGAUCAGAUGAGGAACAGGUGAGGAUUAGGUGAGGAUCAGGUGAGGAUUAGGUGAGGAUCAGGUGAGGAUCGGGUGAGGAUUAGGUGAGGAUCAGGUGAGGAUUAGGUGAGGAUCAGGUGAGGAUCGAGUGACGAUCGGGUGAGGAUUAGGUGAGGAUCAGGUGAGGAUUAGGUGAGGAUCAGGUGAGGAUCGAGUGAGGAACAGGUGAGGAUCAGGUGAGGAUCGAGUGAGGAUCAGGUGAGGAUCAGAUGAGGAACAGGUGAGGAUCGGGUGACGAUCAGAUGAGGAACAGGUGAGGAUCAGGUGAGGAACAGGUGAGGAUCAGGUGAGGAUCAGGUGAGGAUUAGGUGAGGAUCGGGUGAGGAUCAGGUGAGGAUCGGGUGAGGAUCAGGUGAGGAUCAGAUCAGGAACAGGUGAGGUUUAUUUGAGG